rnacentral:rRNA from 1 species
UGCGACGGACGGGCCAGCGGGGGCGGUAAUACGGAGGGUGGGUGGGUUAAUCGGAAUGAGUGGGCGGAAAGCGUGCGCAGGCGGUUUUGUAAGACAGAGGUGAAAUCCCCGGGCGCAACCUGGGAACUGCCUUUGUGACUGCAAGGCUAGAGUACGGCAGAGGGGGAUGGAAUUCCGCGUGUAGCAGUGAAAUGCGUAGAUAUGCGGAGGAACACCGAUGGCGAAGGCAAUCCCCUGGGCCUGUACUGACGCUCAUGCACGAAAGCGUGGGGAGCAAACAGGAUUAGAUACCCCUGUAGUC